AGCAGCCGCGGUAAUUCCAGCUCCAAUAGCGUAUAUUAAAGUUGUUGCAGUUAAAAAGCUCGUAGUUGAAUUUCGGGAUCAAGGGAUCGGUCAUGCCUUGGUAUGUACUGGUUUUAUUGGUUCUCACCUUCUAAAGAACCAUAAUGUCAUUCAUUUGAUGUUAUGGGGAAUUAGGACUGUUACCUUGAAAAAAUUAGAGUGUUUAAAGCAGGCUUACGCUUGAAUACAUUAGCAUGGAAUAAUGAAAUAGGACAUCAGAUUCUAUUUUGUUGGUUUCUAGGAUCGAUGUAAUGAUUAAUAGGGAUAGUUGGGGGCAUUAGUAUUCAAUUGUCAGAGGUGAAAUUCUUGGAUUUAUUGAAGACUAACUACUGCGAAAGCAUUUGCCAAGGAUGUUUUCAUUAAUCAAGAACGAAAGUUAGGGGAUCGAAGACGAUCAGAUACCGUCGUAGUCUUAACCAUAAACUAUGCCGACUAGGGAUCGGAUGAUGUUAAUUUUAUAAUGACUCAUUCGGCACCUUAC
rnacentral:misc_RNA from 1 species